AACGAACGCUGGCGGCAGGCCUAAUACAUGCAAGUCGAACGAACCGUUUACGGGGAGUGGCGCACGGGUGCGUAACGCGUGGGAACGUACCCCAGGGAGUGGAAUAACGUAGGGAAACUUACGCCAAUACCGCAUAAUGACUUCGGUCCAAAGAUUUAUCGCCCUGGGAUCGGCCCGCGUCUGAUUAGGUAGUUGGUGAGGUAACGGCUCACCAAGCCAACGCUCAGUAGCGGGUCUGAGAGGAUGAUCAGCCACACUGGGACUGAGACACGGCCCAGACUGCUACGGGAGGCAGCAGUAAGGAAUAUUGGACAAUGGGCGAAAGCCUGAUCCAGCCAUGCCGAGUGAGUGAAGAAGGCCUUAGGGUUGUAAAGCUCUUUUAGUAGUGAAGGUAAUGACGGUAGCUACAGAAAAAGCCCCGGCUAAAUUCGUGCCAGCCGCCGCAGUAA
rnacentral:rRNA from 1 species